GUUUAUCAGUAGAAAUUGGCUUCCCAAUCUUGGAAGCAAUUUUAGACAAUACUCUUGAAUUCCAACAAUCCAAUGGAAGACUCGGUAACUUCAUCCAUACUGGCAUGGUACUCACCUCUUCUUCAUCAAAUUCAAAACAAGGUGGCAUACCUUUAAUCAUUAAAGGUCCACCAAACACAAAGUAAGGUCCUCUUUGUAAUACACUAUUCCUUGAUUCCUCACUUUUGAACUUGAAAUUCAGCCAACGACUUCCAUAAAGAAAAUAUUGGUAUUCUACCUUCCAAGAAUUGCACACAAGGAGGAGAGUCGUCUUUCCCAGAAAUCGGACAGCAAAAUAACCCACAAUACAAUAACCCUAGGAUUGAUCAACAUUGUCAACAUCAAUAACAUCCAAGGUAAUGGCAUUGGGUUGAUUCUCUGUGGAGUUAAGUUUAAUACCAUCACCAAUAUUCCUAUUAUCUUUGAAUAAAUUCACCCAGGUACCAACCUUGUUGUCACCUUUAUUACUAAUUUACUAUCCAUUUUAUCCAGAACACUAUUCUGGAUUUCAUCAUCUGAGCUUGCAGAACUAGUAUCCAUUUCCCCAAGAGUUUGAGAGAUAGAAGGUGAAUUAUCUGAAGAAAUCAUCACCAACUUUAAAUAGCUAGAGUUUGCUAGACUUAAGGAUGUAGAAUAUUCUAGAGACUCAUUACUUGUUGGAAAAGAAGACCACCACCAUUCAUGAAUAAUCUAGAGAAUAGAAUUGUGAAGCCAAUGGAAGAAUUCUCUAGAAAAGUGUAGGUUGUAAACUCCACCUCCAUAUUUUGCCUAUAUAUAUGUGUGUGUAUGAUGAGAGAAAGUGUAGAAAAAGAGUGUAGAGAAAGAGAGUGGAAAAGAGAGACAUAGUGAGGUGUUCUAGUGUGUUUAGUUAGUGUCUUUGGUGUGUGUCCAAAAUUGUGUAAAACUUUAUUUCAUCAAUAAAAAUUAUUUUCUUUUGGUGUUUAAACUCUUCAAAUUGGUAUCAAAGCGAGGCGAUCAGGGAAGAAUUUUUGAGCUUCUA
rnacentral:lncRNA from 1 species